CCUUAAAGAAGAAAAACAGCUGUUGGUGAUGUCACUUCCCCUUCCCCUGGGUAAGGACGGUCGAAUUGGGCAAAUGCUGCUGAAGCUCUAGUUCACUAACUGCAUAGAGAUCUAACAUUUGACCCCAUGAAAGGUUAAGGAUUAGUUGCUAGUGUUAGUACUUAGAGGCUACAAUUUAAUGUUUUCGGAAUCAGCCCUAACCCGGAUGCACUGUGCGUCUGCAGUCGGCUGUCAAAACUGCGUCCGUCUGGCUCAUCUCGAACGAGCCUAUUUACUUCACAGGGGUGUGGUCAUGUGAUCAAAUCAGGUGCACCGCGGCCCACUUCCUCUUCCUGUGCACAUGCUGGCUGAAGAUAAGUUCUGACUGAAUUAACUUGCACAAUAAAUUGUCUUCUUAAGGGUCCUAACAGUCCAGUUGUGAAGUGACUCCAAAGGACGUCACGGGCGAAGGACUAGACGAUCACUCGAACGCGUUUGCUGCCACACCGGAUUUUAAUGACUUAUUCUGAGGUUCUGGAGGUGCACAGAUGCCAUGCCCUCCCCCCCCCUCCCCCAGAGAGUCCGGACUGAAGAGCAGCCUGUUUAUCAGCGCAAACCGAGUGGAACAACCUGCUGAAAGCCGCCGUCGUCACAGAGGAGCCCAUCGUUUGUCCUGUCACAAACCCACUUUUCGGAACCUCCGGGCCCCUCUGUCACGGUCUACUUCCUGACAGCUUAUAGAGAUCUGCCGGAUGCGCCCUCGGCGAGUCCGCCCUGUGGCUCUUAUCACAGGUGGAGGAAACCUUUGCAAAUGUGUUUAUGCUAAGCCUGACUGAUAUC
rnacentral:lncRNA from 1 species